AAGUGUUGGGGCUAGUUCGGGGAUGUAUAAUUACUUUUAAUCAGUAGGUCCAGGGUUCGAAUCCCUGCGCGCUCACCA
rnacentral:tRNA from 1 species